GGUCUUUUCGCAGUUAUGGACUCUGAUGAACUGCGGUAUAUGUAUGAUAAUGGAGAUUAAUGGCCGAAGUGCUACAAUGUUAACAAUUUACUUGGAGGAACUGCAGGAUAAUGAAAAACCAUGAUUAUUUUGAGACAAUAUAUUUAUUUUUUAUUAAUAUGGAGUUUUCAACAAUAACAGUAUAAUAGUAGGCGUAACAAGAGAGACGAGGUAUCUAGAGUAGAAGACACAUACGUACAAGGACUUUCAGAAGACAGGUUUUUGUUUAUACAUUCUGGAACGAAUUCAGGAAGAGAACAUAAGAUCACUACUGAACCAAAUUACUGGCAGAACCCGCUUUAUCAAAGAAUAUUACAACUAUAAUUAAUUCAAUACGUCUAUCUUUGAUUUAAUUAGGCUUAGGGUGACUCUAAACUGGCCCCCUAUAUUAUUUGUAUUUUGAUUAUCUCCUGAAUCAAUUGCAAUAUAUAUUUGUUAUCCAGUAAUAUUUUAACUAACCAAGCCAGUCACGCUUCUCACUUCAAAGGAAAGUACCGAAAUCAUCUUUGUUGUUUGUAAAGCAACAUUUUUAUCGUUACAUGUACAAGGUGCUUGUUCAAAAUAACGAUGAUCUGUAAAUGAUGAAACUAACAAAACAAUGCAAUUAUCCAGGACACUUUCAAUGGUAGUAGCCAUGUAUUAUCGUGCAGUCAAAUGAAAAUACUUACAAAUGUAUCAGCGAACAAUUUGAUUGAAUCAUGGAAGUUUUGUUCAAGUAUAGCCUCGAACCAGUUCGUUUGAGGAUAAUAAGAUAUUAUUCAUGAGAGUCUGUACACUUGAAGACUUUCAAUAAUUUCAUAAUGAUUCAAAGUACAGUGCCUAAACGAGAAAACUAUGAAACUAAAUCUCUAUCUCUAUACGUAUAAUUAUAAUUGUAAUAUAGCGAAUUGCUCUUUAAUACAAUAACGCUAUAUAUACAAGUAAAGAAUUGGGCGGAUCAACUACUCCUAA